rnacentral:lncRNA from 1 species
GCGGUGGCAGCCAUGGCGGACGGUUGCGAUGAGGCUGCUCCUGGGUCUCGCGGCUAUCCAAGACCAUCGAGGGUCCCCGGCGGCGCCUGCCGUCUGCUGAGGCUGGGUGGACUCCUCUGCGGCAGAUCUCCUGUAAGAUGUGCUGCAUCCACGUACCUGGCGGCCUCCCUCAUCGCGUGCUGUUGGUAGGGGGGCGAGUCAGGCCCUGUACACGUCCUGACAGGCACCCGGCCCACCCCCAGCCAACUGUGCGCUGUGUUCCUGCCCCAGCACGAGACCUGUGGGGUGUCCGCGGCAGAAGAUGUCAGAGCUGGAAGAGACCUGAGAGGCGAUCCCCUUGGUGGGUGAUGGUUCUUCCGGGAAUCUGGUGGUUUGCGCGCCUUGUCGUCUGCUUCCAGAACAAGGAUCUUCGCUGUACGCCAAGACCCAGACCCCUCUGACAUCGGAAUGACAAGUGGGAUA